rnacentral:rRNA from 1 species
UACGGGGGGGGCAAGCGUUGUUCGGAAUUACUGGGCGUAAAGGGCCAGUAGGCGGCCAACUAAGUCGGAUGUGAAAUCCCCAGGCUUAACCUGGGAACUGCAUCCGAUACUGGAUGGCUUGAAUUCGGGAGAGGGAUGCAGAAUUCCAGGUGUAGCGGUGAAAUGCGUAGAUAUCUGGAGGAAUACCGGUGGCGAAGGCGGCAUCCUGGACCGACACUGACGCUGAACGGCGAAAGCUAGGGGAGCAAACGGG